rnacentral:rRNA from 1 species
UACAGAGGGUGCGAGCGUUGUUCGGAAUUAUUGGGCGUAAAGCGCUUGUAGGCGGCUUGUUAAGUUCCGUGUGAAAUCCCCAGGCUUAACCUGGGAAGUGCGCCGGAAAACUGGCGAGCUUUGAGUGCCGGAGAGGGUCGCGGAAUUCCCGGUGUAGAGGUGAAAUUCGUAGAUAUCGGGAGGAACACCGAGUGGCGAAGGCGGCGACCUGGACGGACACUGA